UCAUUUAGUUGGGCACUCUGAUAAGACUGCCGGUGACAAACCGGAGGAAGGUGGGGAUGACGUCAAAUCAUCAUGCCCCUUAUGACCUGGGCUACACACGUGCUACAAUGGGCGGUACAACGAGUCGCGAGACCGCGAGGUCAAGCCAAUCUCUUAAAACCGCUCUCAGUUCGGAUUGCAGGCUGCAACCCGCCUGCAUGAAGUCGGAAUCGCUAGUAAUCGCGGAUCAGCAUGCCGCGGUGAGUACGUUCCCGGGCCUUGUACACACCGCCCGUCACACCAUGAGAGUUUGUAGCACCCAAAGCCGGUGGGGUAACCGCAAGGGACCAGCCGUCUAAGGUGGGACAGAUGAUUGGGGUGAAGUCGUAACAAGGUAGCCGUAGGAGAACCUGCGGCUGGAUCACCUCCUU
rnacentral:rRNA from 1 species